GGCUGGUUGGAGUGUAGUGGUAUUUACAACUGAUUGAUCACAACCAGUCACAGAUUUCUUUGUUCCUUCUCCACUCCCACUGCUUUAUUUAACGUUAAAA
ensembl:misc_RNA Y_RNA Y RNA